GACGAACGCUGGCGGCGUGCCUAAUACAUGCAAGUAGGACGCAGUUGCGAACGGGUGAGUAACGCGUAGGUAACUACCUAUUAGAGGGGGAUAACUAUUGGAAACGACAGCUAAUACCGCCUACUAGUAGAUGGAACUGCUUUGUAUUAGCUAGUAGGUUGGGUAAUGGCCUACCUAGGCAACGAUACAUAGACGACCUGAGACGGUGAUCGGCCACCAUGGGACUGGGACACUGGCCAGACUCCUACGGGGGGCAGCCGUAGGGGAUCUUCGUCAAUGGGGCGAAACCUGGCCGAGCAACUCCGCGUGAUAGAAGAAGGUUUUCGGAUCGUAAAGCUCUGUUGUGAAGGAAGCGUUACUGAACCAGAAAGGGACGGCUAACUACGUGCCAGCAGCCGCGGUAAUUC
rnacentral:rRNA from 1 species